GACGUAGGGCGCGAGCGUUGUCCGGAUUUAUUGGGCGUAAAGAGCGUGUAGGCGGUUUGUCGCGUCUGCUGUGAAAACCUAAGGCUCAACCUUGGGCUUGCAGUGGGUACGGGCAGGCUAGAGUUCGGUAGGGGAGACUGGAAUUCCUGGUGUAGCGGUGAAAUGCGCAGAUAUCAGGAGGAACACCGGUGGCGAAGGCGGGUCUCUGGGCCGAUACUGACGCUGAGGAGCGAAAGCGUGGGGAGCGAACAGG
rnacentral:rRNA from 1 species